rnacentral:lncRNA from 1 species
GUGGGUUUUAACAGAGUUUAAAGGUAUGUAGCUGCCUUGAUGGUGACCUACAUAAACGUCCUGAAAGUUGCUUGCAUCCAAGCAAUGCAAGAGUCUGCAGGCAUUACUCUGCCCUUGGUGUUUGUUGUGGUGGGAAUAAAGGGGUGACUUCUGGCUGGUAUUGUCUGCUUUGUAGUAAAAAGUGGUAAGUAGUCAAAGAGUCCCUAGUGCGAAUGAGAGCAUCAACCAAGGUUGAAGGUGCAAAAAGAGAUCAACACAACAUUACCAUGGUUAACAGUAACAUGGAAGAGUGUCAUGUUUUACAACUGAAGAUGUGGUGAUUUGACAUACAGAAUGGGAACUUAAACAGGAUUGGUUAGGAGUCUGUGUUGCAUCUAGGUAAUGUGGGCCUGCCUAGAACACUGGGUGUGGGAGGUUGCCCCGUUGCUCUCUGGGUCUUUGAAGUGUGUGACACUGGAGAUUUCUGGUCUGAAGCCUUACUGAGAUUCUCACCUGAUGCCUCCCUUCAUGUCCUCUGAUGCAGUCCAGGUACAUAAUUGUAAAAAGUUCAUGGAAAGGUUUUUGACAAAGCCCUUGGACCAAAUGUAACUAACAGGGGUUUCUCCCUUGAGUCUUUGCAUCCAUGGACUUGGGGAAAAUCCUGACACCUGGGGUGAAGAGGAUCUUCACAAACAUGUUGUUUUGUUUCUUGUGUUUUUCACCAGGACAGAAGACCUGAGCUACAGAUCCUCGUUGCAGAAAGGGUUCCAGAUUCCCCCAUGGAUGAGUGGACAGCUGGUGGAAAGACAUCAGAUGGAGCAGUAUUAAACUGUAUCUCUUUGUUUCUUGUUAUGAUGAUUGCAACAACAUUUUUCCAGAUGGAAUGGAGUUUUUACAAGGAUGGAUGUAUUGAGAUUGCUGCUUUUCCCCCUUUGCACAUACUUCUUUCCAAGAACCAUGUAUAAUUUCCAGAAUAUUCUCACACACAGAUUGUAAAUUCUUGCUAAAAUCAUUUUCCAUUAAUUUACAUAACAGCUAAUUUUUUUUGGGUGUGCAAAUGAAUAAAGAAAUGUGUUCUUUGUCUCUUCUUGUCCA